UGCAGUCGGACGACAGGCGAGGAAUCCGCAAGGAGGAAUCGUGCUGAGUGGCGAACGGGUGAGUAAGACAUGGGGACGUACCCUCAAGAGGGGGAUAGCAUUCCGAAAGGGAUGGUAAUACCCCGUAAGCUCGAGAGAGGGARGGUGCAACAGCACCGCUUGAGGAGCGACUCAUGGCCCAUCAGUUAGUUGGUGAGGUAAAGGCCCACCAAGGCUAUGACGGGUAGCUGGUCUGAGAGGAUGGUCAGCCACACUGGGACUGAGACACGGCCCAGACUCCUACGGGAGGCAGCAGUGGGGAAUUUUUCCCARUGGGCGAAAGCCUGAGGGAGCGACGCCGCGUGGAGGAAGGAGUCUUUCGAGAUGUAAACUCCUGUUGUAAGGGAGCAAGGGUAUAUGUAGUGGAAAGGCAUAUACUCGGAUAGUACCUUACGAGGAAGCCCCGGCUAACUACGUGCCAGCAGCCGCGGUAAUACGUAGGGGGCGAGCGUUGUCCGGAGUUACUGGGCGUAAAGGGUGCGUAGGUGGCCGAUAAAGUCAAUUGUGAAAUUCCACGGCUCAACUGUGGGAGUGCGGUUG
rnacentral:rRNA from 1 species